rnacentral:rRNA from 1 species
UACGUAGGGUGCAAGCGUUGUCCGGAAUUAUUGGGCGUAAAGCGUGCGUAGACGGUUAUUUAAGUCAGGUGUGAAAGCCCCGGGCUCAACCUGGGAAUUGCAUUUGAGACUGAAUAGCUAGGGUGCGGAAGAGGGAAGCGGAAUUUCCGGUGUAGCGGUGAAAUGCGUAGAUAUCGGAAGGAACACCAGUGGCGAAGGCGCUCUGCUGGACCAUAACUGACACUCAGGGACGAAAGCUAGGGGAGCGAAUGGG